rnacentral:piRNA from 1 species
UGGGUGAGAGGUUUGGUCUUGUUUGC